CCUACGGGAGGCAGCAGUGAGGAAUAUUGGUCAAUGGCCGGAAGGCUGAACCAGCCAAGCCGCGUGAAGGACGAAGGUGCCAAGCAUUGUAAACUUCUUUUGUCAAGGGACAAAAUCAGGCUCGAGAGCCUGACCGAGGGUACUUGAAGAAAAAGCAUCGGCUAACUCCGUGCCAGCAGCAGCGGUAAUACGGAGGAUGCGAGCGUUAUCCGGAUUUAUGGGGUUUAAAGGGUGCGUAGGCGGGCUGUUAAGUCAGCGGUAAAAGCCCGGGGCUCAACCCCGGCGAGCCGUUGAAACUGGCUGUCUUGAGAUGUCGAGAGGUAUGCGGAAUGCGCAGUGUAGCGGUGAAAUGCUUAGAUAUUGCGCAGAACUCCGAUUGCGAAGGCAGCAUACCGGCGGCGAUCUGACGCUGAGGCACGAAAGCGUGGGUAUCGAACAGGAUUAGAUACCCUAGUAGUC
rnacentral:rRNA from 1 species